rnacentral:rRNA from 1 species
AAAGUUGGAAGAGUUGCGAACGGGUGAGUAACGCGUAGGUAACCUGCCUACUAGCGGGGGAUAACUAUUGGAAACGAUAGCUAAUACCGCAUAACAGCAUUUAACCCAUGUUAGAUGCUUGAAAGGAGCAAUUGCUUCACUAGUAGAUGGACCUGCGUUGUAUUAGCUAGUUGGUGAGGUAACGGCUCACCAAGGCGACGAUACAUAGCCGACCUGAGAGGGUGAUCGGCCACACUGGGACUGAGACACGGCCCAGACUCCUACGGGAGGCAGCAGUAGGGAAUCUUCGGCAAUGGGGGCAACCCUGACCGAGCAACGCCGCGUGAGUGAAGAAGGUUUUCGGAUCGUAAAGCUCUGUUGUAAGAGAAGAACGUGUGUGAGAGUGGAAAGUUCACACAGUGACGGUAACUUACCAGAAAGGGACGGCUAACUACGUGCCAGCAGCCGCGGUAAUACGUAGGUCCCGAGCGUUGUCCGGAUUUAUUGGGCGUAAAGCGAGCGCAGGCGGUUUAAUAAGUCUGAAGUUAAAGGCAGUGGCUUAACCAUUGUUCGCUUUGGAAACUGUUAGACUUGAGUGCAGAAGGGGAGAGUGGAAUUCCAUGUGUAGCGGUGAAAUGCGUAGAUAUAUGGAGGAACACCGGUGGCGAAAGCGGCUCUCUGGUCUGUAACUGACGCUGAGGCUCGAAAGCGUGGGGAGCAAACAGGAUUAGAUACCCUGGUAGUCCACGCCGUAAACGAUGAGUGCUAGGUGUUAGGCCCUUUCCGGGGCUUAGUGCCGCAGCUAACGCAUUAAGCACUCCGCCUGGGGAGUACGACCGCAAGGUUGAAACUCAAAGGAAUUGACGGGGG